rnacentral:rRNA from 1 species
CCUACGUGGUGCUGCAGUGGGGAAUAUUGGACAAUGGGCGAAAGCCUGAUCCAGCCAUGCCGCGUGUGUGAAGAAGGCCUUCGGGUUGUAAAGCACUUUCAGUGGGGAAGAAAGCCUUGGGGCUAAUACCCUCGAGGAAGGACAUCACCCACAGAAGAAGCACCGGCUAACUCCGUGCCAGCAGCCGCGGUAAUACGGAGGGUGCGAGCGUUAAUCGGAAUUACUGGGCGUAAAGCGCGCGUAGGCGGUCUGAUAAGCCGGUUGUGAAAGCCCCGGGCUCAACCUGGGAACGGCAUCCGGAACUGUCAGGCUAGAGGGCAGGAGAGGAAGGUAGAAUUCCCGGUGUAGCGGUGAAAUGCGUAGAGAUCGGGAGGAAUACCAGUGGCGAAGGCGGCCUUCUGGACUGACACUGACGCUGAGGUGCGAAAGCGUGGGUAGCAAACAGGAUUAGAUACCCCGGUAGUC